rnacentral:rRNA from 1 species
AUUGAACGCUGGCGGCAGGCUUAACACAUGCAAGUCGAGCGAGUGGCGGACGGGUGAGUAAUGUCUGGGAAACUGCCUGAUGGAGGGGGAUAACUACUGGAAACGGUAGCUAAUACCGCAUACCAUCAGAUGUGCCCAAAUGGGAUUAGUUAGUUGGUGGGGGAAGGGCUCACCUAGGCGACGAUCCCUAGCUGGUCUGAGAGGAUGACCAGCCACACUGGGACUGAGAAACGGCCCAGACUCCUACGUGAGGCAGCAGGUGGGAAUAUUGCGCAAUGGGUGCAAGCCUGAUGCAGCCAGGCCGCGUGUGUGAAGAAGGCCUUCGGGUUGUAAAGCACUUUCAGCGGGGAGGCGUUACUCGCAGAAGAAGCACCGGCUAACUCCGUGCCAGCAGCCGCGGUAAUUC